rnacentral:lncRNA from 1 species
UCCUGCACUGUGGGAGCUGGGGGAGGUGGCGGGGGAGCUUGCUCGUUCUGCCCGCGACGCUGCCUAGCUGCCAUCUGAAAACAAAGAUUGUCGCCAUCGUUAUCCCAACUCACAGUUUCGAACGACAAGAUAUCAUCUCAUAUGGAAGGAGAAAUGCCAUAAUCAUAAUAUUAGGUUCGAAAUGAAGAUAACACGGUGACAAAGAUCCCACAGAUUUCAAAAGUUUACAGGGUUACAUCAAUCAGGGGAAAGUACCCACAAGCCUAGUUCAAAAUGUGAUACUACUAAGCUCGCAUAGGUUUCUAUCCACCUAAAAGUGUCAAAGCGACUGCUUAACCCUGAGCGGUGGAAGCGACACUGGAUACGGGUGAAGGAGGCAUCGCGGAGGUAGUCCCAUUGGCACCAGGGGCUGGUCCUAGCUCCUCGGGAGCCUCUUCUCCCUCGCUUCCUGCUUCAUUGGCCUCCAUCUCCAGGUGGUGUAUGUCCAAGUGGUCAUUUCCUUCCUCGAGUUCCCUCUACACAUCGUGAAGCUGGUUCUCCAAGACAUCGAUAGUGUUGUCUCGGAUCUCCACUUGCUGCUCCAGGGUGGUAAUACGCUGGCUCAGCCUUUCCACCUGCAGAUCCUUCUCCACCAACUCUGUGGAUAGGUCGACCACAAAAUCUUCCCGACUGUCGAGAGUGAGCUUGGCAGCCUGAGCGGUGUUAGCAAGAAGUGUCAUAGCAUCGCUCUGAAGGGCCUGAAGGCAGUACAGCGCACUCAUGCACUGAACAAUGACCCUCCCAACCAAGUCAGGAUACAUUGCCCACACAUCCUUCACAUGGCUCACGCGGUUACACCACAUGGGAUCAUCCUUCUUCUCAGCAGGGAAGAGUCCCAAGGGGUGCAUCACCAUCUCCAGGGGAUGGUAGCCACAGAAAGUCGUCAGAGUCUUCAUGGCUGCUGCUUCAACGGUGUCGUCCGUCCUGAGUCCAAUCGUCUCAGAGUCAAGAGAACGCCAACCCGGCUGAAGGGGAUGAGCCUCCAAAGUCAGCCAGACCCGACAACGAGGUACCCGAUGCUCCUCAUACAACUGCACCGUGUACAAAGGGGGCGUAGGGUAACCGGCGGAGUUAAGCACUUCCCACAAGAUGGAAGGAAAGCCAUCACGAGAAAGGAAGUCAGAACUGAAACGAGAGUCUCCUCCACUGGCGGGGGUGGGUGAAUUCAUCUGCGGAAGGGAAUCAAAGAUAAAGAUUAUGGUGGAAGGAAAAAGAAAAAGAGAGCCCGGAUGGUUUUCAAGAAAGGGGGUUAGCUCAAAUUUUAAUUCCUCUUUGGGGUUUUAUAAUGCAUGCAUGCUGGAAGAAACGUUGCCUCUCAAAAGAAAGAUAGGGUGCCUUUUUAGGGCAUCCAAAAAAAUAUAAGUAUUGGCCCACGGGGCCUAAUUAAUUAGCCACCUAUUUCUCCCUCUAUGCCUAAGGCCUUUCGUCCUAGGUCUAGUGGUCUAGUCCUGUCGAUCCGUAAUAGUUUCUAGGCAAGUUUUAGAUUUUGAAAAUUGGUAUUCAUGGUUUAUUGUCCUUCUCUGUGGUGGAAUUUGCUCCGAUACCAGCUGUGGCAGAACCACCCGAAUUAUUCCAGCUUAAGUGCCUAAGUCACGCCCCAGGGGUCGUAACACACUUAAAUCGGAAUAACCCGUCAGUCCCUCAGAUCUAGUCUGAUAGAGCCACUUAACCAGGAUCAAAUUCCACAAUCCCACUCGAAGGUGAGUCACAGAAGAAAUACAAUAAAACAGGAAACCUCAAAUUAAGUACUGAGUUAUUACAUAAAUCGGAGUUCUUGAGUAGCAAAUAAAGUUCACAAAAUAAAGUGCAGCGGAUAAUCGAUGUCGUCGGUACUGAGGAAAUGGGCAAGGCCUAGCCCACUACUCCUCGUGCUCCUCUCCUGCCGGAGCAACAACCCACUCGACCGUCCAACCCGGUGGCAGGGUGGCAGGCCAAGUCACACCAUCAACCAAUUCCUGCAUGGUACCUGCAAAAAUGGUGCCACAAGCAAGGCUGAGUAUACUAAUACUCAGCUAGACUUAACCGGUGUGAGGAGUCUACUCCUCUACCUCUAGACCAUGCAGCUGUUUGGCUGAGGGGUUUGGUUUGCCAAAAGCACUAGCUGUUUCUAAAAUCAAUUUUUAGCCUUUCAAGUUCUAUCAUCAUUAACUUAGCUAGGUUUGCUCCUUCUAAGCAUACAUGGUAACAACCAAUUAGUUCAAUCAACGAAUUAUCUCAUGUAACCACAUUUCACUUCUUACUCGAUGCAGUACAAGGAAUCAAGCAGCCUCAUUAGCUGCGAGAAGCAGACGAUUCGAAUCGAGUUUUAAACCUUGCAAGGUAAACCUAAACACACGGCAUGUCAGGGUACUCCGACCCCGCACAUGACAACCGUCCCCAUCAAUUCCCCGUUCGCGUCCAGGCCUCACCGCCUUGGCAUACAAUGCUCCACUGACCCCGGCUGCCGCCGUGCAGUGACCGCACUUGUACCCACCAUAGCUAGCAUGGGAGACCCAGUCUCAGGUCGCAUGACGGAUAAAGUCUGCGCCCGGCUUCACUCAGGUACUAGGUUUACCGGUUACCAUUUUUCCCGGCAUGUGCUUAGUACGUUCAAAAGCUUGACUCAGGUAUCCACACAUUAAUCCUUAAUUCAUUUUUCCCGUCUCAUGGACAAGGCAUCCUCCCUGGAUCCAAAUCCAUAGACCAACAUAGAUCCCGUUAUCAAGAUGAAUACAAUCAAUUCCUGACCUCGCGCGAGUGCUAGAAAAAUCACUCGACUUCUACCGAGAUCCUGAUUAGCAAGCAGCUACUCGACCUGGCAUACUAGUAUUCAUCUCAAAAAGGAAUCCUAAGUUUAUGCAACUAGAGGUUUCAAGCAACUCCUACACUUAAGUGCACAUUGCAAUCCUACAAGCAUUAAGUGUAGUAAAGUAGCAUAUAAUAACAUGGUUAUGCAUAAAACCGGGGCUUGCCUUCAAUUGCUGGGGCUGCGGGGAGAUCCUCAAUAGCAGCCUCUGAAGCCUGCUCCUGGUCCUCCUCUUGGACAGGUCCUUGCUCGGGGAUGAGCACGUACUCUCCGUCGGCAAGAUUACAAUCUAAUGAAUGCAAUGCGUAAGAUAUAUGCAUGAUAUGAUAUGUGCUUUUAGAAAUUACAACUUUAAAGGUGUAUGAUCUUUUGAGUUAAAACAAGUUAACUUUACUUAUGUAAAACCCUUAGUGGUAUACUUGGUAAAUUGGGUUAUACUUAGCUAAGGUAAGGGGUAGGUUUAUUUUUUUGGGGUUCCACUGAAUUCCUUUUAAGUCUUAGGGAUAAAUGAUAAGUUCUCAAGUUAGACUUAUUGGGGUGAGGUUUAUUUCUUCUUCUCUUUUCUUUUAUUCUCUUUAAUGUUUUGGAGUAGGUCUGAACUACAAGUUGCUUUUAUAAAAUUCUAAAAAUUCUGCAAAAAUUGCAGUGGCUUGUUACUGGUGUGUUUUGCUCUGUCUCAAAAUUUGGGGAUCAGAAGGUGAAUAGUUUUCUCUGGACAAAAUUAUCAAACUCUAGGGCAGAAGGGGUGCUUUGAACUACAACUACUAUUUAAUAGUGGGUAAUUCUCUAAAACUUAUUUUUGCUGGCUUUUAGGUGUUAUAACAUGACUUGAUACAAAUUUUUAAUCAUUAAUACCUCUUAAUAAAUUUUCUAUGGUUUUCUCAAGUUUCUAGCCAAAUGGGUGCUUUCUACUACCACUAUAUUUGAAAAAUAUCAAACAACAGAGUUCUUAUUUUUCUUGGUUAUUAUUUUGUGCAAGAGCAAUCAUUCUGAAGUUUGGCUUCUUUUAGCUUAAGGGAAGGGGUGGUUUGCAUUAUUUGAAUUAAGUGGUCUUUCUCUUUAAUCAUUAGCAAAAGGUAUGGGUUUACUUCUUCUUCAUGGGUUUGCAUUUUUCUCUGGUAGUUUACCUCAUCACGAGCUUAGCAAAUUUUUGGUUGCCUAUUAUCACAUUAAAAGGGGUUGUUCAUGAUUUAUUUGGAAAAUGCCUUAUUAUCACCUUGUAUUUAUUUUCUUUACUUAAAAAGUUGGGCUGAGGUGCUCUGUAUUUUUGUAGUGGGGCUCUGGUGGUUAUAAGUCCACUAGAUUUUUAUUAAUCAUUUUGGUUAUAGUUUUGUAACUCUAAUAAUUGAUUUUCAGUCUAUAUGAGGCUAAACAAAUCAUCUUAAUUUAAAACUGGUCCAAAUUAAUGGUCUCUGUAUAUUUCCUAGGUUCUCUGUUGCAUAAGUAAACUAGGAAAAAUAUUAUUAAUCACUGUUCAUUAAUUUCUAAGGCCUUUCUGAUUUUCUCUAAGUUUUGGACAAUUUAGCUUUAAAUGAAAAACUACAUCAUAUUUUUCAAUGCUGGGUUUCCUACUAUUUUUAAACAGUGCCUAAAUAAGGUUUAAACAUCUACAAUUUUUCUUAAGCUCAGCACAAAGGAAAAACAAAUUUUCCUUAAUUAAACAAGUUUUAGUGGGUUUCUGUUUUUAAAUUUAAACUUUAAAAUUUAGAACAGAAAGCAUGGGGUUUACUAUUUUUAAAUGAUAGAUCAUAAAAUUCAGAAGCUAGCAAAAUUGGUUUGACAACUUUUUAUUAAGAUUUCAUCAAGUUAUGGAUUUUCUAAGUUCUCUGGUCAUUUUAAAAAGAAUAACAGAAUUGAUUAAAUGGAAAUCCACUUUGCACUGGGGUCCCUGGCGGUUUUCUAAGUUUUCUUCGCGAAUCAGUCCUUAGGUUACUAUUCACAUGAGUCACUGACAUUACAGAAAACCCCUCGGGUUCUACCAAUCCUAACCCGAGGUCCUUCUUCUACCUCAAACAGUAACCGCGGCGGAGAAAAGGGCGGAGGGGCUUACCGGCGGCAAGAUUGCUCCGGUGAAGUGGUCGAGGACGAAGGGGAGGUCUCGGGGAUCACAACGGUGUGCGGAACGCCGUCGGAGAUGGCCGGAGUCGGUCGGUCCACGCGCGCAGGCGGGGAUGCUCGUCGGCGGCGAGGAGACCGGCCUGGUCACGGCGAGAUAGUUCAAUCAAAUAGGUCAGGGAGGUCCACGGGAUGCCAGAGAAGAUAUGCGCGAAAGGAAUUGGGCGGAGACUCACUGGAUAGCUCGGUCCACGCGCGACGGCGGAAGACCGAAGUCCGGUGAGGUCAAUCUCUGGCCUCCGGUGAAAUCCGGUCGGGUCCGAGGGCUUGGCAAGCUUCACGGGCUACUGGCGGAGCUAGCCGAAGCACUGGCUGGGCUUGAGGGUGGCUGGAGUUGGCUGGCCACGGCGGCCGAAGCUCUGGCGGCAAUGGCAGGCGAAAUUAAGCUUGCCGGAGCUAAGGAAAGGUGGCUGGCCAGAGAGGGUGAGUGCGGGGCGAAGAGAGGUGCGCCCGGGGAGGCUUUAUAGGCGCGGGCGGGCACAGCCGAGGGCGUGGGCGCGCGGCGGACUUGACCGGACGCCGGGGUGAGCGCGCGCGCGGGUUGGGCGAGCUCUGGCGUGCCGACCAGGGUCGAACACGUGUGCCCGUGCGUUCUGCCCAAGUUCUGGCGCGUGUGGUCGCUCAUCCGAGCCUGCUCUCGCCUUGGUCAGUGCACAAAACCUCUUCUCCUCCCUACAAGCUACCAUUCUUGUGUGGGGGUCAUAGGAUUUUGCCUACUGGUUGCAGAGAUAUGGAGCGAGGAAAUCUGGUCUGUCUCCCUGCCCAAACCCGAGGCAAAUCCAAGGUUUUGUCGUGUCUAGGGCUCGCGUCCCAAUGCCAUCUUCUGGCACACGACAGAGGGGUUAGUUAGACACAAUUUUGUCAAUGGGGCCAUUACUAUUCGAGUUAGGGAUCAAGGUGAACAUCCCUGAUCUUUGGCUCAAGGUCUGAAUUUCAGAAUUCUGAAAUUUAGAAAUCCCAAUGAGUCCCCACAUGAGAAGCUUGAUUUGGGGUUUUAUUUGAGUUAUUUUGGCUAAGCUUUCUCAACAUUUCUUGUUGCCCAUUAAAUAUUCUUUAAUUUUCAUAAUUGGCUCAAAUCAUAAUUUUAAACUUUUCAUUCCCUUUUUCUUAUUUUCUUGAAUUUUGCUCAUGGGGCUCACUUUAGGGUUUUUAAUUAGGGUUGCACAUUCUUAUCUUUUCAAAGACUCAAUUGUUUUGAUCAUGUUACUUUUAAGUAUAUACUUGGUGAAUUCUCUAUUACUUAAGUUGUUUUGAUGCUCAUGCUUACUUUGGUUCACAUAAAAUGAUGGUUCUUGGUUUGGCAUUUGAGAAAAACCCUGAGUGACACUGGGGUGUCACAGUACGCCACUAGGGCCAUUGGAUGAGAGAUCUACCGCACAGAUUUAAAAUAUCCAAACUGUUUUCCAUCCGCCAGAUCGGGAUCGAACGACCACGGUUGCAUCAUCGCCAACCGGUACCCGAAUCAGAUCUUGACCGUUAAUCCCUAUCAACGGUCGCACUCCUUCCCCCAACCCUCCUACCUACGACGCACAUGCGGCGACGGCCGCAGAGCCCACUGCAGAGGAGUUCGCCGUCGAACUCCGUCCGACGAAUUGGGGCCCCAAAUUCCAAAUCAAUAGGUGUUGUACGUAGAGAAGGAUGAGGCGAAGCUAUGGGUUAGCAGACUACCUGCGAGAAAGGCGCCCACAAGGCUGGCCACGGCAUGGUGUGAUCGUCGGUGAUUUCCCAAGUCUGGUGAGAAAUUGGGUUGGAAACGGGGGUCGUCGUCGUCCGUCAAUGCCACGAUGAGCCAGCACACACCCAGGCGGCCAUCCCUGACCACAGUGCGGACUUCAAUCGGCGAUGCAGGCCAAGGACUGCGACGGUGACUCCAUUCUCACCUCCCAGAUCAACGGACGGAGUCGUUUCUUCCCCAUAAACUACAGAGCGGCGGCGGGCUUUAGUUUGUACGGCGGCGAGCCCUUGUAGCUGGAGGGCGAGGGCGAGGGCGAGGGCGGUUCGGUAAGUAGAAGGGCAACAUGGGCGGCUUGGGCGUCUGAGGCACCUUCACCGGUGACGCUGGCAGGCCAACGCCCAGCUUUGUUGUUCACCACUGCCACCGCCGGCUCCCGGACUGCAAUCGACUUGCAGCAACAGAGGCCCUUGGCACCCGACGGAUCAAGCGGUGGGAGCACAAAAUUUGGAAUCGAAACUAGGCUAGUCAAAUAUUUACCUCGGUUUCUAGAACCCGUCAUUGUAUAGCGGACUCCUGACGGACGCCAUCAGCUCGCACCAAAUCUAUUGCCACGGAAGGGGGCCUUCAUUGCUUGUUCUAGACGCUUGGGAAAAACCAGCCCCAAGUACGAUGUACACCGGUGAGCACCCCUGAUCCCCCACCCAAAUCCGAGCAAUCGGUGCUCAGCGGUGCUUUUACUCGCCGAUGGCUUAUGGGAGGUCGCAGGGGCCAUCUUAUAUGUAC